GCAGAGUGUGUCGGAUGUGAUUCACGUUUACUACAAGUUGAUAGUCUGUAAUACGCAGUCUAUGAUGCUGUACCAAUGCAGUUCACUGAAUUGAUUAUAUAUUAUCUUUUUGUGCCUUUGUGAUGAUGUACCUUUGAUGAGGACACAUGUACCCACCGUAAAAUUUCACUAUGGUGAAUGUUUUUCACAGGUACUCUGGCAGCAAACUACCAUUGCAUGGACAGCGACGGGAUAUGAAAACUAUUACUCACUCCUAAAUGACCUUUGGUUUAAGGUUUUCUUCCGAUGUGGCCCUGGAUUUGGCUCCAUCCAUCUUCCCAUGAAGUCUAUCUUCCUUGUCUCUGCUGAAGAAAAGUAGCCACACACCAUGGUGCAACUGAACAUCUGGAGGUGACAGAGAGUCUCAAAGUAAAAGUUUGUCACAUGUCACUUUGGGAAAGAAUAAUGGUUCAAUAGCUCUGAAAGCUGCACUUUCAAUGUUUAAAAUGUUUAAAAAAUACAAGCAUUAAAAAACAAAACAUGUUUGGUAUGA